GGGAGCGGGGAGCGGCCCCUGCUGGGAAUUGGCAGAGCGGCUACGGCCAGCCCAGCAGAAAGCAGCGGGCACCCGGGAGUGUCCCCAUCGAGCUGCGUCCUGGGAGGAAGGGGGUUGGAGACCCGUGACCCGAAUCUGGACAAGCGGCCACCGGUACGGGUUGCAUCCGGAGCAGUCCCGCCCUGGGCCGGGCUGCCCUCAACCGGCCUCUGGGCAAGACCAGGAAGUCAGCAGUCUGCCAGGAUCAUCUCUACCUUCAGGAUGCCAACAAAGUUUGGGCUCCCAUCUGACUCUUUGCUGCUGCCCAACCCCACAGGACAUGUUUGUGUUUCCACUGAAAUGUGAGGGCUGUGCACACAUAUGAAUCUACCAUCCCCUCCUGCAGGCCUUCAAGCAGGCCCUCACAAAUAAGUGUCCCCCGCGCCCCCAAUCCAGUUAAUGACAAAGCUCAAGGUCCUUGAUCCUAAAGGGAACCCUGCCUGGGGAGGCAUUCAAGUCAUGAGUCUGAGCUUUGGAGCAAAACAAACCUGGGUUCUGGUCCUGUUUCUGUCACGUAAGCAUUGUAUUAACUUUCUGGGCCCGUUUCCUCAUAUGGAAAUGGGGGAAAUACUUGUACACACCUCAUGCACAUUCUUAAAUGAAGAUUAAAUGAGCAAAUACAUGGAAAAUACGUAACAUAGUGUUUGAUAUUUAAUAGGUGCCCAUUAUGCAUUGAGAGCAUUUUAGUUGGCAACACUUUCUCCUUUAUUAAUUUGAAUUUUCCUCAGACAUGCAAAUAGAUCCUAAGAUUGCCCAACUUAAAGUUUGACAGCUAAUUAAUAAAUUAGCAUGAGAAAUAAUAAUUAAAAACAACAUGAAAGUGGGAAGAUAUGGCUUUAAUGGGUUUUAAUAGGUAUCUCUCUGUGUGAAAAGCAAAGGAGGGGGUGGAGAUCAAAGGUUUUGGAACAGUUCAUAAUAUGUAAGGAUACACGCAGUUACUUACAUUAUUAGCUACCAAAGAAGAGGCACAACCAUCACUGAAGUUCAAAUUGGGCAGGCUGGGCUGAGGGACACCCACCCAGUGCAUGAAUUUUGUGCACCGGGCCUCUAGUAAUAUAUAAAAGUUAUUAAAUAACUGCCAAGGUUCUUAGAUAUAAGCAAAUUCUUCAACUUAGAUUUGUUUGUAUAUUUUAGAAUUGUAUAUUUUAAAAAGCUGGCAUUUACUACAUGGCAUUCAAAUGUAUUAGAAAAGCUGGAGAAAUGCAAUCUCCAUGAAAUGUGUAUAAGUACAUAUGUAUGUGUAUAUAUGUAAAAUGAAAAAAGUAAACCUUAUCACUCAGGUAUCUCACCUAAUGAUGUAGUAAAACUGCUUAUGCCCUAGGGAAGUAACAGGAUAAGUUAUUACUGUACAAAAACAGAAAACUAGAACAAUUUUGCUUUUAGUUUUCAUCUUCAAUCUAAAUAAGGUAGGGGUUACUUAGAAUUCUUGACUAUACAAUAUUCUUUUGAAGUUGACAUCAAAGGCCAAAACGUGUAGAUUUCUUAUUUGCAACUAAGCUAAUGUUCACAAAAGUAAAAAAAGUCAUCAAACAUUUUAAUGGAAAAUGGUAAUCAUUCUAAACCCAGGUUCAUCCCUAACUCUCCAUGUUAAUAUUUUAUUUUCUAUAAACCAGUCUAUGAGUAUUUUUUUAAAGGCAACCAUAUUCUCAAUUGCCUCAGGAUGGCCCUUAAUAAGCAAUAACAGGAGGUGCUUUGUUUGGAGGUUAGGAAAAUUGAGCUCUGAAUGAAAUCAGCUAUUCUUAAUUUUUUAGAAGUAGAUUACUCAAAUAUGUGUGAAAUCCAUUAAACUGUGACCUCAAUAGCAAGUGCUUGACAAGCUAUAUGAUAAACAUUUUAUACUAAGUAGUGCUACUUACAAGGCAUAUUAUCUGUAAUAAAUAAAAUUCAACAAAACAAUGAUCCUCCAAAAUCAACACCAGGAACUUCUUUACAAAUCAAUCACCUGCCUGACUUAAAACAUAAGUUCACUUCAUUUAUGUUUUCUCCAUUAUGUUUUGACUAUCUCCCAUAUUCAUAAAUAUGUACUCACAUACAUGGUAUGCCUACACUUCAGAAACUAAAAGGCUAAUUCCAAGCAUUCUGAAUACUUCUGCCACAGCAAAUUUGGACAUUUAGAUGCUUAAACACUGUGCAUUAAAAUUCCCUAAGAUAUAGCCCUGGUCAGUGUGCUAAAUGGUUAGAGCA